UACGUAGGGUGCGAGCGUUAACCGGAAUUACUGGGCGUAAAGCGUGCGCAGGCGGUUUUGUAAGCCAGAUGUGAAAUCCCCGGGCUUAACCUGGGAAUGGCAUUUGGGACUGCAAGGCUCGAGUGCGGCAGAGGAGACUGGAAUUCCUGGUGUAGCAGUGAAAUGCGUAGAUAUCAGGAGGAACACCGAUGGCGAAGGCAGGUCUCUGGGCUGACACUGACGCUCAUGCACGAAAGCGUGGGGAGCAAACAGG
rnacentral:rRNA from 1 species